UAAUGCUGACUUAGAGUAUAUUAUUGAGGUGGUUAAAUCUACCCGAUGGUUAUCAUUGUGAAUUCGAGAUUAUGGAGAUACAUGACUCCGAUCGGGAGUACAGGUGGCUAUCGUACUAGCCUACCCAGCGAUAGUCAAGGCAUGCAAGCGCAGAAUCUACCUUCUCCACUUUAGCACUCCUUAAUUUUCUAUCUACCUUUGUCUUCCUAACAUAGAGGGAAUAUGGUGGACAGCGCAAGAUCUUUCACUCCAGGGCGGAUCUCCCACCUAUUUCCUCCUUGAGCCUUUUAAGGACUUGCUUAGGUUUGAUUGGUGAGAUGAUAUGUUGAUGUUCUUUAUUUGGGUGGGUUUCUAGAACCUGUAAACCUGGAAUAUAUUAAAAGUAGGGGAGGCAAAAAGGCUUUUCCCGGCUUGGGGAGAUAAGAAGUUAUGAGCUGACAAAUCCACUUUUCCUUGGAAUCUUCCAAAUAUAAAAGACCGCGCUCCAAAGAAUCGGCUGAAGACGGCGAACCCUAAAAAAGAUGGGAAGCUUCUUUCUUGAUCAUGUGGGAUUGUCACCAAAAAGGACGAACAUCAUUACAAAAUUC